GAAUUUAGAUGAAAUUUGCAGGAAAAGGAACGAGGCACAAAUGAUUCAAUUUUGGGGGCGAUCCUCAAUCCAGAAUUUAAAAACAUUGGGAGUUGACAGCGUGGCGCCACCUGCUGUCCGUUGGAGGUAAGUGCACUCUGAACAUUUAACACGAAAAAUGUAUAUUAAUAAAACACGUGUUGUACAACAGCGGGUUAACGAGUAAUAACAGUGUAGAUUAAAAUGAAUAGCUUGGCGGAGGUCUAUAAUGCGACACCACUGUUUGUGUAUUAGCGAAUGACGAUGGUGUUUUGACGUGAUGACGAGUACGCUACGGGCACCACUAAACUCGGGAGGGGUCAGUAACACUCGUCACUUCUAGCAUCAUAUUUAGGAAGCUAUUGAAGCAUCUUUUUCCCCUCAAAACACCGAGGACAUCAACUCGUCACGACGAUACUUAAAGGAGCAGCACAAGCCGUCGCGUCCGGCUGAGCUAUUUCCGGUUUCUGCGUCACCACUCCAGUGUUUUUUCUCCCGCUGCAGCAGAUUCGUUCCGUCCUCGCCUCUCUCUUACAGCGGCUCUCGUGAUGGACAACCACGGUCGUGUGUUCGUCAACCAGCUGCAUAACUACGUGGUCCCGGAGCAGAGCCAGAAGCCGGUGCACGUGGACACCGGUCACGUUGUCCAGGCCGUCUCUGCGAUGCUCGGCGACAGGUUGGGAAGCUUGGAGGGUCACAUCCAGCAGACCUGCCAGAGUCUCGCAGCCCUCACCAAGACCGUGGACUUCCUUUGCUCCGAGGUUCGAGAGUUAGGGAAUCUGUGCAGAGGUAACCUGCACAGCCGCAGUGCCCAAGUCAAGACCAGUGAAGCGGGGGUCCAGUGUUCCCUUCUUGAAGGAGCCAGACCUCAGGACGUGGUCCAGCGACCCGGGGAGGGAGUGAAGUACCCGCAGACCAAAGCUGACCUGGAUUCAAGGGGAAAAGUGGUUGGAAAUAGCAAAGUCGUGAAGCCUGUUGGUGAACCUGUAGGAGGCCUCAAGGUCGAGGGGAAGAAAGACACGUCUCAGCGACAGCAGCAGAGCGAGCUGCGGAUCAUCAAGUGCGUGAGUCUGAGGACUGGAGCCGAGGCAGAUGUCAACCAAGCAGCCGGCGGCUCUGCCGGGCCACGCCAGGUCGACAGGCGGCACAAAGUCAAGCUGAGAAAGACCAAACAAAUGCGCAUCUCCUCAUUGGAGCGGCAGGUGGAGGGUAGGAACCAGGAACAACGGUCUCCAACAAGGCGGACAGCGCCGCAGAGAACCAGCUCUCCCUUGCUGAAGCUGACCCACUCGGGUUCCAAAGAUUCCAAGGUGGAGGAGAGGAAGUGUCAGAAGAGAGGAAGAGCAGAGCUGAGCUCCUCCGAGCCUCCCACAGAAGAUUCCUCCGACCUGUCCGAUGAGUCAGAGAGCGCUAAAGGCAAGUGAGAACCACAUCACCAGAGUGAGUGGACGUCCUCCAGCGUUGCCUUCAGGGACCAGGCUCUGGCAGUGUGCAUUCUGUUCGGUCGGUUCGAGGGAUUCUGAUCUCGCUUUUGUUGGUCUGGACUCGCCUGAAGUGGGUGCCUUCUUUCAGCCGUUUGCUAGCAUGUCUGUGCUAGCUGGUUCCACGGCGCUGUCCUGCCGGGAAACUGUUCACAAAAGUCUCACAAACCUUAUUGUGAUUUUGAUAAAAUAAAGUUUUAAAAACUGUCCACCAGGAGGCAGACAAGAUCGCUGUGGCUCGCGCCCUCUGGGCUGAGACCGCUUUUUCUUUACCUCUAGUCCCAUCCUUAACCCACAACCAUCCAUUACUCCCAUUCAUGUGCACCUACAUGAAGACAGAAGAACUUUGGGAGAGGCUUUCUAAACAUGCCAGACACUGGAAAAACACACACUCCAGCAACACCGUUCAUCCGCAGCUUUACUUCAGUGAUUAGAGUCACAUGAUCAAUUGUCCACAAUCCAAAUGCACAAUAACACAACAUUGAUACACAAAAAUGAGGUGGCUUCAACGAAAGUGACUGAAACUCACAAGACACAAAUCUGAAAUCAAAACCAAGUUCAAACAGUUUUGCCAGUAAAAGCACUUUGGGAACAUUGAUAUGAAUAAAGUGGGAUCAUUAUUACACACACACAGACACACACAGACGCAAGUGUUUAAAGCCCAACAACAAUGACACACAGAUGGACACAAACACACUGCUGGAGAGGAAAGAAGUCAACAACCAGCAGGAAGAGUUUGUGAGACACAACUCACACUGUGGUUCAGUUCAGCUUCAGGAUCUCACAUGAGGAGGACCAGACCUCGACCCCAGCAUGUAGAGGCUGAGUGAAGGUGGUCUGGACUCUGUGGAGGAGGGUCAUGGUUCCAGAGACGCUGUAGAAGGACAGAAGACCUGCAGAGUGAUCCAGACAACAACAACCAUGAGCCUGCAGUGUUUGGAUCCAGAGUGAUGUCCCGUGAGAACCUGAGGAACUCAGCUCUAGUCUUGGGCUCUGGAGCGAGCAUCAGUGAGAUGUUGGUGCAGGUGUCUCUCAGAAGGUCCUGGAGUCGCUCUCUGCUGGCUGACACGGCUGCUGACACUUCCUCAAAACAGC